GUCAGCUUUCGCUCCAUAGCGUAUAUUAAAGUUGUUGCGGUUAAAAAGCUCGUAGUUGAAUUCCUGUAUGGAAGGGGCGUCCCCACCCUUUGGAUGGGGGUUGCUACCUUCUUUGCAUCUUCCGGAGUAGAUGUUCCUCACUUAACUGUGAGGACAUCGUGCUCGGGUCAUUUACUUUGAGGAAAAGAGAGUGCUCCAAGCAGGCAAACGCCUGAAUACGUUAGCAUGGAAUAAUAGCAUCGGAUCAUCGUUCAGCUGUUGGUGUCUGGACGAGGAUAAAGGUGAACAGGGAUUGUUGGGGGCAUUCGUAUUUAACUGUCAGAGGUGAAAUUCUUGGAUUUGUUGAAGACGAGCUACUGCGUAAGCAUUUGCCAAAGAUGUUCUCAUUGAUCAAGAACGAAAGUUAGGUGAUCGAAGACGGUCAGAUACCGUCCUAGUCUUAACCAUAAACUAUGCCAACUGGAGAUAGGACGUGCUUAUUUUACGACUCUUCCUGCAUCUUGAGAGAAAUCAAAGUCUUUGGGUUCCGGGGGGAGUAUGGUCGCAAGGCUGAAACUUAAAGGAAUUGACGGAAGGGCACCACCAGGAGUGGAGCCUGCGGCUUAAUUUGACUCAACACGGGGAAACUUACCAGGUCCGGACAUAGGUAGGAUUGACAGACUGAGAGCUCUUUCUAGAUUCUAUGGGUGGUGGUGCAUGGCCGUUCUUAAUUGGUGGAGUGAUUUGUCUGGUUAAUUCCGUUAACGAACGAGACCUUAACCUGCUAAAUAGAUACGGGAACCUAUCUAGGUUCGCGAUGAUCUUCUUAGAGGGACGUCGCGUGUCUAACGCGAGGAAGUGUGAGGCAAUAACAGGUCUGUGAUGCCCUUAGAUGUUCUGGGCUGCACGCGCGCUACACUGAUGCGUGCAGCAAGUAUACCUUGAUCGAGAGAUUUGGGUAAUCUUGUAAAAGCGCAUCGUGAUGGGGAUAGAUUCUUGCAAUUGUUAAUCUUCAACGAGGAAUUCCUAGUAAGCACGAGUCAUCAACUCGUGCUGAUUACGUCCCUGCCCUUUGUACCCACCGCCCGUCGCUCCUACCGAUUGGAGUGAUCCGGUGAAUAAUUCGGACCUGGCGAAAGGG
rnacentral:rRNA from 1 species